rnacentral:rRNA from 1 species
CCUACGGGUGGCAGCAGUGAGGAAUAUUGGUCAAUGGACGGAAGUCUGAACCAGCCAUGCCGCGUGCAGGAAGACGGCUCUAUGAGUUGUAAACUGCUUUUGUACAAGGGUAAACCUGAAUACGUGUAUUCAGCUGAAAGUACUGUACGAAUAAGGAACGGCUAACUCCGUGCCAGCAGCCGCGGUAAUACGGAGGAUCCAAGCGUUAUCCGGAUUUAUUGGGUUUAAAGGGUGUGUAGGCGGAUUGAUAAGUUAGAGUUGAAAUGUCCGGGCUUAACUCGGGAACUGCCUCUAAUACUUUUGAUCGAGAGAGUAGAUGCGGUAGGCGGAAUGUAUGGUGUAGCGGUGAAAUGCUUAGAGAUCAGACAGAACACCGAUUGCGAAGGCAGCUUACCAAUCUAUAUCUGACGUUGAGGCACGAAAGCGUGGGGAGCAAACAGGAUUAGAUACCCCUGUAGUC